GGUUAUGGCUCAGUGGUAGAGUGCUUGCCUAGCAUGCAUGAGGCUCUGGGUUCAAUCCUCAGCACCA
rnacentral:tRNA from 1 species